GCCUUCUUGGCUCAGUUGGCAGAGCGUCUCCCUAGUACCAGGAGUGAAUCCUGACGGCAGGAGAAGGUCACCAGUUCGAUUCUGGUAGAAGGCA